UACGUAGGAGGCAAGCGUUUGUCCGGAAUCACUGGGCGUAAAGCGCGUGUAGGCGGAUCGCUAAGUCUGUGGUGAAAGCGCCUGGCUUAACCGGGCGAGGUCCAUGGAAACUAGCGGUCUGGAGGCCGGUAGAGGGGGGUGGAAUUCCGGGUGUAGUGGUGAAAUGCGUAGAGAUCCGGAGGAACACCAGUGGCGAAGGCGGCCCCCUGGGCCGCGCCUGACGCUGAGACGCGAAAGCGCGGGGAGCGAACGGG
rnacentral:rRNA from 1 species